rnacentral:rRNA from 1 species
AGACGGGGGGGGCGAGCGUUGUUCGGAAUUACUGGGCGUAAAGGGCGCGCAGGCGGCCUUGCAAGUCAGGCGUGAAAGCCCUCGGCUCAACCGAGGAAUUGCACCUGAAACUGCAGGGCUUGAGUAUGGGAGAGGUAAGCGGAAUUCCCGGUGUAGCGGUGAAAUGCGUUGAUAUCGGGAGGAACGUCAGAGGCGAAGGCGGCUUACUGGACCAUUACUGACGCUCAUAGGCGAAAGCUAGGGGAGCGAACGGGAUUAGAAACCCCAGUAGUCC